AGCUGAUCCAGCAAUGCCGCGUGCAGGAAGAAGGCCUUCGGGUUGUAAACUGCUUUUGUACGGAACGAAACGGUGCUCUUUAAUAACAGAGUGCUAAUGACGGUACCGUAAGAAUAAGCACCGGCUAACUACGUGCCAGCAGCCGCGGUAAUACGCCCCAAA
rnacentral:rRNA from 1 species